AGACAUCCAGCUAAACUUGAAUUUCAGAUACACAGUAAAUCUUUUUUUUCCAGUAACCAUGUCCCAAAUAAUUGUUGGGACAUACAUAUGCUAAAACAAUUACUUGUUGUUUGUCUGAAAUUCAAAUUUAACUGAGAGUUCUAUA
rnacentral:miRNA from 1 species